CAUUACCGAGUUUACAACUCCCAAACCCCUGUGAACAUACCAUUUGUUGCCUCGGCGGUGCCUGCUUCGGCAGCCCGCCAGAGGACCCAAACCCUUGAUUUUAUACAGUAUCUUCUGAGUAAAUGAUUAAAUAAAUCAAAACUUUCAACAACGGAUCUCUUGGUUCUGGCAUCGAUGAAGAACGCAGCGAAAUGCGAUAAGUAAUGUGAAUUGCAGAAUUCAGUGAAUCAUCGAAUCUUUGAACGCACAUUGCGCCCGCCAGUAUUCUGGCGGGCAUGCCUGUUCGAGCGUCAUUUCAACCCUCAAGCCCCCGGGCUUGGUGUUGGAGAUCGGCGUGCCCCCCGGGGCGCGCCGCCUCCCAAAUAUAGUGGCGGUCUCGCUGUAGCUUCCUCUGCGUAGUAGCACACCUCGCACUGGAAAACAGCGUGGCCACGCCGUUAAACCCCCCACUUCUGAAAGGUUGACCUCGGAUCAGGUAGGAAUACCCGCUGAACUUAAGCAUAUCAAUAAGCGGAGGAAAAGAAACCAACAGGGAUUGCCCUAGUAACGGCGAGUGAAGCGGCAACAGCUCAAAUUUGAAAUCUGGCCCUCGGGUCCGAAUUGUAAUUUGUAGAGGAUGCUUUUGGUGAGGUACCUUCCGAGUUCCCUGGAACGGGACGCCAUAGAGGGUGAGAGCCCCGUCUGGUCGGAUACCGAUCCUCUGUAAAGCUCCUUCGACGAGUCGAGUAGUUUGGGAAUGCUGCUCUAAAUGGGAGGUAUAUGUCUUCUAAAGCUAAAUAUUGGCCAGAGACCGAUAGCGCACAAGUAGAGUGAUCGAAAGAUGAAAAGCACUUUGAAAAGAGAGUUAAAAAGUACGUGAAAUUGUUGAAAGGGAAGC
rnacentral:rRNA from 1 species